GCCAUGAGAAGCAAGAAGGCCAUGAACGAU
rnacentral:piRNA from 1 species